AAUAUCAAAAAGUUACGCACUAAAGCUUUAAAAGUGAAAACAUUCUGGUUUUUAUGUAAGCCAAGCAGAUUUACUUAGAGCUGUCUGAUUUGCCAUUUUUCCCUAUCAUACUAAUACUAGGACUAACAAAGCUAGCUCCAUGCAAUACAAGGACCAAUGCUGCUUCUUUAGGAUGCUGACUUUCUGCCAUGUUAGCCUCAGUGUUUUGACAAAAUAUACUGUAUGUAAGAUGGAAAAAGACUUGUUCAUUUUUUUUUAGAAGAUAAAUCGAGGACACAUAAAAAAGUCCUAAACCUUUAAACUGAUGUUAGCUUAAUAAGCUAGGUAGAUAUAGCUGAUGUUAUUUCAGCCAGCAAAACCGACAGUCCCGGCUAGAAAUGAGAAGCAGCAUUUGUCUAGUAUAAUUAAUAAAAAAAUAAUGUUUGAGUUGUAAUGUUAACAUUGUACUGUAAAUGCCAUGCAACAACGGAAAGCUUGACAGACCUAGAAGCUGCUGGGCUUAGUAAACGGUAAAUUUAUAUUUAAGAAAAAAACGCCUUGCAUGCACGCUCCCAACCGCACAUUGUAUUUUCAAAUGGAGCGAUGUUCGGGCUGUGCCCUCCUGUGCCUACUGAACUGGUAUCAGUGUUUUACCUAAAAACUGGCUCAGUUCAGCAGGAACAGGAGUGAAGUCCACUGUCAGCGGGAUCUCUGUCCUGUGUUACCUUACCAUCUUCCACUGAACACGCAGCACGACAGCCCAACCCAGAUUCAACAUUUCUUUUGCAAUGCUCUCAUGUUAAGUUGACCACACCCAGCACAGAGCGGUGUGGGGAAUAUGCCUCGAGUUAUUGGCCCUGAUAAAAAUCAAACCCGAGCCCUCCAACCUGUCAGACGACGGCACUGAACCCUGAAGUGUAUGCAAAGCGGUGCAGCUCAAGUUUUAGAUGACUGUCCCCUUUCUUUGCUUAAACAUGAAUGUUUCAUGAGCAGAUUUACCAUUUAUGCUUGACAGGUAGGCCCUGGCGUCCAGAGCCAUUGUGUUAAUACUGUUACAUACUGAUGUCGUUGAUCUUGUUGUUUUGCUCAGCCUUCAUGUUUAUUUCAGCAUUCUUCCCUUGAAAAAGCUGCAAACAUGGCUCACUCUUUGCCAAUGCCUCUCUCUUUUUUCUGUCUCUCUGUGCUGUCAAAGGCCACAUUGACACUGGAGUUCAUUGUCAGGUAAUCCCAGUGAAAUGUCUGCUAUGUCUAUGUCUAAUUGAUGUCACCCAGCUGUCCCCAUUAUCAGUGACUAUCAGGGAAUGUGUGCAAUGCUGCUUUCUCCCCACACUCCAGAUAACUCGCAGCCACCAAAGGAAAAGUGCUUCAUCUUGAAGAUUUCAUAUCCACAGGAAAAUGAAUGUUCAUUAGCAAGCAUGAUGAAUCUGCUCUUAUCCGGCAACUCCACUGAUCGUGGUUUUGGCACCAUAAAAUUAGAGAGAUUAUUCUAAAUGUCAGUAAGUUUCUAACUACUUUCAUUGUGGAGCCUUAUUUAUUGUAAUGUUACACGUGCAACCAAAUGUUUAAUUUCAUUACUAAUCCAGCCACAAUGUUAAUGUAAUAAAGUUUAAAUGAGCUGAAAA